GCAACAGAAGAUAACUAAAAAUAAAAUACAGGGAGAAAAGAUGAGGCACAAAGGUAUGCUAGCCAAGAAUACAAAGGAGGAUAGU